CGUAGGGUGCAAGCGUUAAUCGGAAUUACUGGGCGUAAAGCGUGCGCAGGCGGUUUUGUAAGUCUGUCGUGAAAUCCCCGGGCUCAACCUGGGAAUUGCGAUGGAGACUGCAAGGCUAGAAUCUGGCAGAGGGGGUAGAAUUCCACGUGUAGCAGUGAAAUGCGUAGAGAUGUGGAGGAACACCGAUGGCGAAGGCAGCCCCCUGGGUCAAGAUUGACGCUCAUGCACGAAAGCGUGGGGAGCAAACAGGAUUAGAUACCCUGGUAGUCCACGCCCUAAACGAUGUCUACUAGUUGUCGGGUUUUAAUUAACUUGGUAACGCAGCUAACGCGUGAAGUAGACCGCCUGGGGAGUACGGACGCAAGAUUA
rnacentral:rRNA from 1 species